UUUUGACAUAAACAUUUUAUGUAUGAAAGAAUUGAGUGGAUGCAAUAUAACUUGAGGAAAAUUCCAGUUUAUAAAAUGUUCUUAUCGACUUUGAAAGACAUCAGAAACCUAAAUAAAAAACUCAUGGCUUUAGUAGUUGAAGUAUAUUGACCUCAGCAGAAUUAAAAUAUUAAAUGCCAUGCUUCCCAAUAUUGCAUUCGUGCUACGAAAUUGAAUAUGGAUGAUUACUCGGAAAUGGAAAUUUGAUGUAUCUUGAAUUCAUUAAUCUUGGAAUGUAAAAUAUAAGAUGAAAUCAUCAAACAUAAACUCGAAGAGUAUAUCGUUUUCAGUAAGGAAGGCCACUUCCAAUUUUCUUUUCUUUUUUUUUAAAACUUAGCCUCAGCCCGUACUGCUAAUAAUUUAUAUCACAUCCCUCCAAUUGAACCAUCAUUAUCUUCUUCUUAGCUUCACGAGUUCGGCUUUCUAUUUCACCAAAAAACUUUCUUGCUUUUUGACAAAUUCGUAAGUCAUUCUCAGCGACAGAUAUAGUCUCGCGCUGCUUAUCCCAUUGUUGGUGAAACAUUCUUCGUAAAUCAUUCAACGGAAUAUUGAGAACUUUACGACUCUCUGUACCUAUCCAAAUACUAGCAUUGUGACAAAAAUCUGUCUCCCUUAAAGAUUUUUUUAUCUUUUCCGCAACUUUAAGAGGAAGUGCUCUAGGUAUAUCGUAAAUAACAUACCCAAAAACGCAAAUACUUGCUAAACCAAGUACCGGGACCAAUAAGUGUUGAAGCGAGUUAUUUUGAAAAUAUUUAAAUAUUGGAUAACCAAGAUUUCCAGUAAAUGCACCAAGCGUUGUAAAUGAAGGGGUUGUUUUUCCAAGGACCAAGAGAAUAGUACUCAAUGAAGCGCUCCAGGUUCCUAAUCUCUCAGUAAGGUCUAGAUCUAUAAAAUCAAGCAAGCCAAGUUCAAAUCGAAAAUGCUUCUGCAGUUGCAAUCUAUGUUUCUUAAUAAACAUUUGGUUGGCAUGAAAGACUGGAAGGACGGCGGAGUCAAAAUUAUCUUUUACAUCUUUUUGAAUACAUAAGACAGCUUCUUCGGUCCUCUUUCGAGCAUAAUCUUCUGACUCCAACAAUUUUUCUUCUAAAUAUUGUUGCAUGGCGUCUCUUACGGAUAUCGCAUACUGGUAGGCAAAGAAAAAACCAGAAUACUUGACAGAAGCAAAAGAACCUAAUGAGUCAAUAGCAUCUUCUAAUUCGGAAUGUGUAUGCUGAGAAAUAGAUUGCACAGUCGCUUCAACUAAAGAUUCAUUCUUCUGAUAGGUAAAUUGCUGCUCAUGUUUUACCUUACGAAAUUUUGGAGAAAGAUCCGUCAAACGUUGUUGCAAGUGAUUAAUAUCAAAAUCGAUAAGUUUUAUGUUAUAUUCGCAGAUAUUAAGUAUAUCACCGACUAACCCUGACAAGUAUCUACGUACCGGGGCAAGUUUAGAUUUUGAGCGAUUUUCGAGAAUGAAGCUACGGAGAGAGUUUUCCAUCUGAAAAAAAGAAGAAUAUAGAGCAUCCUCUCGAUUAUUUGGAUCACGAGCGACACGACAGCUCACAAAAUGUACCAAGUCUUUAGCGUCAGCAAAAGUACCAGGAGAAAGGGUAUGAAUUUGUUCAAGGAUCAAUCGUUUACAUCUCUCUUUAUCUCUGAUGUUAUCAAAUUUGUUCACAAUAAUGAAAAUGUGGGAUUUCUCAGUGGAGGCGUUUCUUAAGAAAUCUGUAGCAGAAAGGGUAAAAUGAUUUUCAGCGUUUACAACGAAAACGACAACGUCAAUUUCCUCUUGGCAAGCAAAUACUGAAGUUGUCUUCAUGGAAUCAGUAUUCAAGCCAGGAGCAUCAAUAAGUGCAAUAUCUGUAAUUCCAUUGUGAAGCAAACUCUCAUGUGCCGGUCUUCCAUCAUUGACAUAUACAAUUAGCAUGCUCCAAUUUUCCGUCUCAUAAACAAGGCGUUUCAAAUCCUCGAUUGGAAAAACUUUAUAUGUUGAAGAGUCAGUAUGACUAUACGUGAGUCCAUGAGGAAUAGCGUGAACACAAUCUUUUCCAUCAUUGAGUUCAGCAUCGUGCACUUCACAAAAUACCUCAGUACAAGGUUGUUGAUCUUCUGGUAGAAUGUCUUUGUGUACCAAAGCAUUGCAAAGGGUCGAUUUACCUGCGUUUAAAUCCCCGGUGAUAAGGAUUUUCGAAGAGGUAUCUUCUACUCUAGAAAAAAGUGAAAAGAGAUGCUUAUUUGCUUUCUCUAUGUGUACUUUUAGUAGAGAUUCAUGAGCUUCCUCGCCCAAUUGACUGAUUAAUUUUUCAUCAGCAGUCGACGACGACCGCAGUGAUAGAUCAAUGGUGAUCACAUUCAUUUUGGACGGACUAAAUGGAUAGUAAUUUCCUGAAAAUUUAGAUUUUUCUUUAUCGGUUCUCCAAACACUGUGGAACAAACAGUCAGAUCGAUCUACAUAAUUAUCCAGUUCAUUUAACAGAUUUUGAAUAAUAUGGAUGGAUCUUAACAAUUGGUUCCUAUUUUGGUUAUACUCGAACUGAUGACGAUUAGUUUCAUCUUUAUACUGCUGAAUAUUGUUUGAAGUAUAUCCAUUAUUUAAUCUUCCCGAUUCACCAUUCUGUUCGGCUACUGAUAAUUGCCUUGCACUCUUCUCCAUAUCAUUUAAAGUUGAAUUUUGCGUUUAUAUAAUUGAACUUGAUCCCUAAAGAUUGGAAAUUUCAUGCAAAGAGCAACUUCCUUAAAAAUUAAUACAUAUGCGUUGCAACCAUAUACUGUUUGCAUAACACCUUAGUACGAAUAAUGAAAAAAAAUGGGAGCAACAUAUUAGUAGAUGAAUAUGAGAAAAUAAA